rnacentral:lncRNA from 1 species
CCUUUUUUAUUUAUUGUGAGAUACACAUCAAAAUUAAAUAAAAAAUUUAACUAUAAAAAAUAAACGAAGGAAAAGAACUGAAGAGCAAGAGAGGGAACAAACCAAAAACUAUCUACUACACUGCCGUUAACGAAAAGAGCCUAUCCCUUUCAAUGAAACCUACAUUCAUAUACCCAACAGACAGAGCUGAUGUCCAUGAUGAGCCCUAGCUGGCUAUCUUUCACUCAUUUUCAUGAAGAUGGUGAUGGAGAUGACAAUCACAAGACAUGCAAAAAUGCAUAUGCACAUGCACAUGGAGACUUCACUCUUUCACCACCACAGACACAUUCCUACUUAUGGACCAUUUUUCUUGUUUGCUAUCUAGUCAGUUUGCAUCCACUCUUUAGGUUUUUUCAUUUUAUUUUAUUCUUUUUUUUCAAAUGAAAAACUAUUGACCAUGAUAAUUUGAAAACAACCUGACACUGAUAUCUAGUUAUACAUCUGCCACAUCCAUAUCCUCAUCAAAAUGUACAGUAGUGAUUUUAUUGAACUCAUCAUUCCAUGGAGAUAGGUUCUUCACAUGCCAGUUUCCUUACUACAAUAAUUUUAUCAUAUGAUAAGAUUAUAAUUUGUACGCGACUCCUCUAAAAUCGGAACUCACGGCUCCCUUAAAUGUAGGCCCCAUCUCUAGUGUCAAGGCCAUAAGCCUCUCCUAUUAUAAAUACCAGGAAACACUUCAAUAAAAGGACUAGUGCAAUUACAGCCCUUAAAACACUUUUACCUUAACCUAGCAAAUCACUUACUUUAGUUACCUUUCAAUCAUUGGUGAAAUCAGGUACCAUUAAACCAAAUAAAAGGUCAGUAAUAAAUCAUUUUAUUUUUUUUAUUCGUCAGGAAAUCAACCGGCUAUGUCCUAUCCGAAAUAAGAUAAUUAUUUUCUUACUCUCGCUGUAAAGGCAAAAAAAAAAAUUUUAAUCCGAAAUUUCUCACUUUUAAAAAUAUUUAUACUGCCAAUUAGUACAAUUAAAUUAAAUUAAUACCGAUUGCUUAUUUGAUAAAUUUUUUUGUCGUAUAUUUAUAACUAUCAGAUUGAUUCUUUUUAGUAGUAAUAAAAGUAAAAGCAAAUGAAUAACUGGGUUGUCCACUUCCUUCUUGACUCUAUUAUCAACAAGGUGAGUAUAAAUAAUGAAAUCCCAAAUAACCCUACCUUAUUACUAGGGGCGAAGCUAUAAUCUAAGGAGUUAAAGAUAGCAUGUGUAUUUUCUAAGGAAGUAAUCAUAUGAUUUUCUUUAUUUAUACAUGAAUUUCACACAUUUUCUCUUUUAAAAACAUAGUUAUAU